rnacentral:rRNA from 1 species
GAUCAUGGCUCAGGAUGAACGCUAGCUACAGGCUUAACACAUGCAAGUCGAGGGGCAGCAUUGGGGUAGCAAUACUCAGAUGGCGACCGGCGCACGGGUGAGUAACACGUAUCCAACCUGCCGCUUACUCGGGGAUAGCCUUUCGAAAGAAAGAUUAAUACCCGAUGGUAUAAAGAGUUCGCAUGUUCUCUUUAUUAAAGAAUUUCGGUAAGCGAUGGGGAUGCGUUCCAUUAGAUAGUUGGCGGGGUAACGGCCCACCAAGUCUACGAUGGAUAGGGGUUCUGAGAGGAAGGUCCCCCACAUUGGAACUGAGACACGGUCCAAACUCCUACGGGAGGCAGCAGUGAGGAAUAUUGGUCAAUGGACGAGAGUCUGAACCAGCCCAAGUAGCGUGAAGGAUGACUGCCCUAUGGGUUGUAAACUUCUUUUAUAAGGGAAUAAAGUGAGGGACGUGUCCCUUUUUGUAUGUACCUUAUGAAUAAGGAUCGGCUAACUCCGUGCCAGCCGCCGC